rnacentral:lncRNA from 1 species
CACCUGGCCAUCCCACAUCGUUGGGAGGCCCCAUGACAUCACGUGGCAAAAGGGGAAUAAAGAACAGGGAGCCAUGACCCACCAUCAGGCACACGGGGGUGACGACCGAGCUGGGUGCUCACCCGGGCAGCCCAGCUCCAGCCUCCUGGUCUCAAGCACCAGGCUGCUCUGCCCCACAGGCCUGGAGAGGGCUCAGCUUUCAAUCCGGGAGAAUGGGAAGCUGCACUGGGUUGAAUAGCGUUGCCCCUCCCGGAACCUCAGAAUGUGACUUUCUUUGGAAAGAGGGUCUUUGCAGAUGUGAUUAGUUAAGAUGAGGUCGUACUGGGUUCGGGUGACGCUAAAUACAAUGACUAGCGUCCUUGUCUGAAGCCGUGUGAAGACACAAAUGGAGAAGGUCGUGUGACCGUGAGGCAGAGAUGGGAGCGAUGCAUCUACAAGCCAAGGGACCCCAAGGAGGCCGGUCCCCACCAGAAGCUGGAGGGGGCCUGGAACAGAUGCUGCCUCGGAGCCCCAGGAGGGACCGACCCUGCCCCCCAUUUCAGACUUCCGGUUUCCUGAACUUGAGAGACAAAUCACCCCUGUCUGAAGCCACCCGGUUUGUGGUCGUCUGUUGAGCUGCCUCAGUACAGAAGCAGCUAAGGUUCCAGGCAGCGAACACAUGAUCUGAUUUCUGUGUGAAAGGCCCCUGGCUGUGACAGGCAGCCAGCGGAUGCUUCUGUCCCUGAAUUACCUUCUUGAGGAAUUUGCCUCAGCCUGUUCCUGCCUAAGGCCCUCCCAUGAGUUGACCCUCAAAGUUUGGGUCCACCGGCUCCUCAAGCCAUUCAGACCCCUCGUCCUCUGGGAGCUUUCCAGGCCACUGGGCACCCAGCCUCCAGCUCUGUCUCCUCUGAACCAUGUGGCUUUUAGUCUUUUGUCUUUUGGCAUAUUUGUGCCUUUUGUCCCUAUCUUCCUUGGCCAUGUGUCAGGGAUAGAUGACGCCCGACAGCCACAAGUGGCCCCCACAACCACGCAGGCGGAUCCCCCCGCACAGAGCAGGGCCCCUGGCUUGGGGUGUGGAGCAGGCACUUUGUCCUCCUGGGUCUCAGUUCACCCAUCUGCAAAAGGAAUGGGUUUGGCUGAAUGGUUUCCAAGGGCUCCUUCUGACUCGAACAUUCUAUGAUCUAAAUACUUAUUUUGGAAUUCUUGGAAUUCCAUCUUAUGAUUCUUCUUGCUCGUUCAAUUACUCAACAAACACAAACCAAGAACUCACCCUGUGGCUGACCCCGUUCUCAGAGCAGGGAUCCACAGCGAACAGACAGUUUCUUCUCUCACAUGGUUGACAUUCCUGUGGGUGAAAAUGACAACAGAAGGGUAUAAAAUGAGUACAUCAAUUUCACAUGGCGACAAGUUCUGUGCAGGAAGUAGGGACACGACGUGGGUGCCGAGGGCUUCUUUAGACAGGUGGUCAGGGCUGUCCUCUGAGCAGGUGACACCUGAGCAGAGCAUGGAAGGGCAUGAGGGAGCAGGUCAUGGGAGAGCUGAGGGAAGAGCAUUCCAGAAGAGGGGGCAGUACAUGCAAAGGCCCUGAAGCAGGAAGACUUUGGGUGUUGGAGGAAGAGCCGGAAGGCAAGUAUAAAUGAUGAGGCAGUGAAUUUCAGCUCGGUUCAGCCUGUGACGUCUCCAUGUUCACAGACAGCCUCUGUGAGAUUUACGCAGCAUCAGGGGAGCAUCCAGCACACCGUGACCCACACUGAGUCCUGCUGAAGUGACCACAACGUUAAGAUGAGAAACUAUAUCAGCCCCAAUUAAAAGGCAACAUUUUGUUCGCAUCAGAGAAGAUGUUCUCUGUUGGGGUCUUAUUGUUGAAUUUCAACAGAAGUCCCAGAAUUGAGUGCCACUGAAUCGUGUGUUCAUCCUUGAUCCAAUCUCUACGGCCAAGGGUGUGGAAUCCUCCAGUGGGUCAAGCUCACGGCUGUUGCAGAAGAGGAAUCCAGACUCCUGCUUUUGAAACAAGGCCUCGCUGUCGAGGAGCAUGGUGCUGCCGGAACGAAGGAGGAGAGAAAACUCAUCAGUUUCUAGGUGGCCUUUUAGGUUCAGCCUUGGAGGCCGCAUAGCAAGACAAGCCCGCUCAGAUUCAAGGAGGGGGAACACCAUCCCACCUCUCACGGGGGUAGCGUCACCACCCACGCAGGUAUAAAAGGGAGGUGAAAAAUUGCUGCCACUGUUCUCCUUGGCGUCAUAAUCCCGUCAUCGGGGUCUGGGUUGACUCCAGCUGCGCCGCGUCCGAGGGACCCCAUUGAAAAGAAAUCCCCCGGGAGUUUGAAUUUGCUUUCUCUGCUGUUGGCUCACUUCACUCUCAUCUGCCUGGAGCACGGAAAGUUCAGAACUCGAGGUCAAACUCGGUGCUGGUUUAUUUCAAAGCAUUUGCCACUCAGGGCUCAGAUUCCCCCCCCCGCUUCUUAAAAACAGCUACCUGUGACUUUUUAGCACUAAAGAACAGUUCGCAUGCUUAAAAUCUUCACUGAUUCAGAAGUCAUGUCAACGGCACGCUCUGAUCCAUCUACUUGGUCUUACUUAGGGGAAGUUCUUUUAAAAAUAGGUCACAGGCUAAUGAUACGGCUAGGACACCCCCAGACACGAGGACCCCAAAGCUCACCAGGUGGACAGAUGAGACCCAAGAUAGCGUGUCCCUGUGCUGGUUGGAUUCUCAGAAAGCCACCAAAUGGUGCUGUGGGUUGAGAGGGUGGCGCCUGGUCUAUGCGUCAGGACACCUGCACCUCAUCAGCAACGCCAUGCUGAGUGUGCAUUCUGUGCCCAGGAACUCUUCCAGGUGCCCACCAGAUAUUGACCCAUUUGACCCUUCCAGUGCCCUUUGGGGAAGACACUGUUGUCUUCCAUUUCAAGCUCAAACAGGAGAAAACAGCCUCAGAGAGCCCAUGUAAUGAGCUGGUGGGUGGUAUCACCUCUCCUGGAACCUAGAACACCAACCCCAGAGCUUAGACCAAUAACGAUCCAUGUCCUGUGUGGCCACCUCGAAAGGAGCUCUGUUAGGGCAGCCAGAUUUAGCAAAUAAAAGUACAGAUGCCCACCCAGCUAAACGAGGAAUAGCGUUCACGUCAGUCUGCCCCAAAUUUUGGAUGGUCCUGAAUUUUAUCUAACAACCGUGGAUUCUGUUAGCAAGAAAGAAGAGGGGGUGGCUGGUGGAGACAGACAUGCCACUGAAUGUCCAGUGUUGAGAACGUGGCCCCGCACACUGCCAGCCACGGAGGGCCUGGACCAAGCAGGGAGCAUGGACUGUGGGACUCAUGUGGUCACCAUGACACCCAUAAAGAGGAUGACGGAGCAAGACGAAGAGGACAGAAGGAACGGCUUGAAUCGUGUGGCUAUUUCGGGAAAGAAAAUGGUAACCAGCAUCCUGGUGAGGACACUCGGGUCGUCUGAGUCCAUGCUGGCUUUGAACAGAGUCAGCAGGGGGUUUCGAAGACGCCUCAGAAUUAUUGCCUUAUCUAUACCCACUUAAACUAUGAUAUACUUAACUUUUUCUUUAAUUUGACUCAGUUUUUUACAUAAAUAAAUGCAUUCAAACAGAAAACUUGAUAUCACAACUGUGAAAGUAAAAUCACUAUCCCUUUCUAUAAAUUGAAGGGAACUCUUAGGAUAAAUCUAUAAGUUUUUUAAAAAAC